UAUUUAUUUAAUGGACGUCUAUAAUAUUCUGCAGUGGCGAGCCGAAGUGGUCAAUUUUGACGCAGUUGCGUCAACUUUUCAGAGGUGAUUUACAUGCUAAAGCCUGACAUCUUGGCUCUUUUGAUCACAUUUUAUUAACAUCAUAACUUUGUUAUAAGUAAAAAUAGGAUGGUGGUGGUGGUGGUAAGUACAUAAUUAUGAAAAUUCGUCAUUUAAAAUUGAAGUUCAGCCCGCCACUGAUAUUCUGCACCUGAGAUGCAGCUGAAGGGACCCAGAUACCCAGUCCAUUUUUAUCAAAAUUGAGGUUAUGUUUUUUUCUUAUGUGAAAUUUUGACGCGCGUCAUUUUACUUAUCUUCAUUUUAACCACGAUUUAAGAUGGUCUUAAAUCGUGAUUUUAACCCAACGACGUCUAUUUACCGAGAUAUUAGGAAAUAACAAAAGGAACUAUGUCCAAAUAUCAAUUUUGAUUUAUGGAUUAUGAUCCAAGUCCAAAUCAUGAACUUGGAUCAUUUUGUAAAAUUCUUGUAUAGAAUUAAUAUAAAUUAAUAUGUAUAUAAUAAUAUAAUUGUUACCUAUAUUACAAUUUACAAUAGUAAUGUUAAAAUAUAAUAUUAUAAUAUAUUUUUUUAAAUAAUCAAAAUUAAUAUAGAGAUCAAUAGGGUCCAAUAGGUAGUCAUUGUGUGAUUGAGCAAAUUGAGCAAAUCUGAAAUAUAUCAUUUAAAUCGUAAAAUAAACAAUUAAAGGUACGACGAAAUAGAAAUCCAAAGAUCAAUUCUGAUGCGUCCGGAAAG